GAGUUUGAUCAUGGCUCAGGAUUAACGCUAGCGGCAGGCCUAAUACAUGCAAGUCGAACGGCAGCACGGGUAGCAAUACCUGGUGGCGAGUGGCGCACGGGUGCGUAACGCGUAUGCAAUCUACCUAUAACUGGGGAAUAGCCUUCCGAAAGGAAGAUUAAUACCGCAUAAUAUCACGAAACGGCAUCGCUUUGUGAUCAAAUCUCCGGAGGUUAUAGAUGAGCAUGCGUGACAUUAGCUAGUUGGUGAGGUAACGGCUCACCAAGGCGACGAUGUCUAGGGGGUCUGAGAGGAUGAUCCCCCACACUGGUACUGAGACACGGACCAGACUCCUACGGGAGGCAGCAGUAAGGAAUAUUGGACAAUGGCCGCAAGGCUGAUCCAGCCAUGCCGCGUGCAGGAUGAAGGUGCUCUGCAUUGUAAACUGCUUUUGUUUGGGAAUAACCCCUCUACGUGUAGAGGGCUGAAUGUACC
rnacentral:rRNA from 1 species